rnacentral:rRNA from 1 species
AGGACGAACGCUUGCGGCGUGCCUAAGAAAUGCAAGUCGAACGAGGGCUUCGGCCCUAGUGGCGAACGGUCGCGUAACACGUGGGCAACCUGCCCUGAAGCGGGGGACAACAGUUCGAAAGGACUGCUAAUACCGCAUGUGGACGGAGAAGGCAUCUUCUUUGUCUAAAGACUUCGGUCGCUUCAGGAUGGGCCCGCGGCCUAUCAGCUAGUUGGUGGGUAACGCCCACAAGGCUACGACGGGUAGCUGGUCUGAGAGGACGGCCAGCCGGAUUGGGACUGAGAUACGGCCCAGACUCCUACGGGGGGCAGCAAUUAGGAAUCUUGCGCAAUGGGGGCAACCCUGACGCAGCGACGCCGCGUGAAGGAUGAAAUACUUCGGUAUGUAAACUUCUUUAUUUGGGAAGAAGAAUGUGACGGUACCAAAUGAAUAAGCCCCGGCUAACUACGCGCCAGCAGCCGC